GGGUUGUGAGGUUAAGCGACUAAGCGUACACGGUGGAUGCCCUGGCAGUCAGAGGCGAUGAAGGGCGUGCUAAUCUGCGAUAAGCGCCGGUAAGGUGAUAUGAACCGUUAUAACCGGCGAUACCCGAAUGGGGAAACCCAGUGUGACUCGUCACACUAUCAUUAACUGAAUCCAUAGGUUAAUGAGGCGAACCGGGGGAACUGAAACAUCUAAGUACCCCGAGGAAAAGAAAUCAACCGAGAUUCCCCCAGUAGCGGCGAGCGAACGGGGAGGAGCCCAGAGCCUGAAUCAGCAUGUGUGUUAGUGGAAGCGUCUGGAAAGGCGCGCGAUACAGGGUGACAGCCCCGUACACAAAAGCGCAUGUGCUGUGAGCUCGAUGAGUAGGGCGGGACACGUGGUAUCCUGUCUGAAUAUGGGGGGACCAUCCUCCAAGGCUAAAUACUCCUGACUGACCGAUAGUGAACCAGUACCGUGAGGGAAAGGCGAAAAGAACCCCGGCGAGGGGAGUGAAAAAGAACCUGAAACCGUGUACGUACAAGCAGUGGGAGCCCCACCACUAAGCCAGUGGUGAACUCCACAUACGCAUCCUUUGCUGAGGAUACGGUUAACGGAGCGAAAGCGACGUUCAACCGCAAAA
rnacentral:rRNA from 1 species